GGCAAGGCAUACCGGCAUAGGUCCCGUGGUUUCACUGGUUUCGCGCGCUUUCUCGGUGUUUUCGAAGUUGGACUCGUGGAUCCGGUCUGCAUUUCAGUCGAAGAGCUUACGCUUGGCGGGAAGCGCGCCAUGGAAAGCGAAUACGAAAGUGACCCCUUUGUCGUGGUGUCUUUUCCUCAAGAGGAGGACAGCUUGGCCAUCAUUCACAAGUCAUGGCUGAAAGAAGACCACCGCUCUACAUUUUGGCCAAUAGAAAGAAACCCUGGAAAACGGCGAAAACUAACGAUGCAAGGCGCUAAACCAACAGGGUCCUGGAUUCAAGUGCAGUGCAUCGUCAAACGCUGGGCUAGUAAGGUUGCAUUUUACUUUCUCAGUUUCUGUGUAUUGAACAAGCUAUUUUCCCCCGAAUACCUAUGAGAAGGCGCAAGACAAGCUUAAUUCCCUCCAGUACUCAUCCGACACUAACAGUGAAAGAGAAUUGGGACGGGGCAAAAGGAAGCGGCAACGUUCGAUGCGUUUUCGAGAUGGCGAGGACAACAGCAGCACAGACUACGGUCACAGUGAUGAAUAUGUCCAACCAAGGGCACCGACACCACCUCAACCACUAUCCACAG